CUCCGCUGGCUACUCUUUACUGGACGCUUAUUACAAUCUCGCAGCUUCGCCGAUCUCUCUCCCACGAAAACUAUCAGUAAUCCAAUGGCGGAUGCUACGGGACCCAGUGCCGCUGCUGCCACGAGUGCGGAGACGGAGAAGAAAACAUCCGUCGGGAGUGUAGAGCCUGAAAGCAAGCCACAGACGGCGGAAAUAAAGCGAUGGGGUGAUAUGGUAGACGAUGAGGAGCAACCUGGCGACACUGCCUCCUCAUCUGAUGAUAAAGUCGUCGAGGAACUAAAAGUGGAUAAAUUAGCUAUUGACGAUAGCAAAAAAAUCAACAAAUUCCUCGAUGACCCCGAAGAUUCCAGCAUCCAAGCUGUUACAUCUGGUGAUAC
rnacentral:misc_RNA from 1 species